rnacentral:rRNA from 1 species
GUGUCAGCAGCCGCGGUAAUACGGAGGGUGCAAGCGUUGUUCGGAAUUAUUGGGCGUAAAGCGCGUGUAGGUGGUCAGGUAAGUCAGAUGUGAAAGCCUUCUGCUUAACAGAAGAAGUGCAUUUGAAACUGCUUGGCUAGAGUACGGGAGAGGAGAGUGGAAUUCCCGGUGUAGAGGUGAAAUUCGUAGAUAUCGGGAGGAACACCAGUGGCGAAGGCGGCUCUCUGGUCCGAUACUGACACUGAGACGCGAAAGCGUGGGGAGCAAACAGGAUUAGAUACCCUGGUAGUCCACGCCGUAAACGAUGGGCACUAGGUGUAGGAGGUAUUGACCCCUUCUGUGCCGAAGCUAACGCAUUAAGUGCCCCGCCUGGGGAGUACGGCCGCAAGGCUAAAACUCAAAUGAAUUGACGGGG